UACGUAGGGUGCGAGCGUUGUCCGGAAUUACUGGGCGUAAAGCGCACGUAGGCGGAUUGUUAAGUCGGGGGUGAAGUCCUGGAGCUCAACUCCAGAACUGCCUUCGAUACUGGCGAUCUCGAGUUCGGGAGAGGUGAGUGGAACUGCGAGUGUAGAGGUGAAAUUCGUAGAUAUUCGCAAGAACACCAGUGGCGAAGGCGGCUCACUGGCCCGAUACUGACGCUGAGGUGCGAAAGCGUGGGGAGCAAACAGG
rnacentral:rRNA from 1 species